AUCACCUAUUGUGUUAUGCUAGACAUUUCAGCUGCUACUUCCCAUUUUUAUAGAAGCAGAUCCAUUCCAGCUGUGGUUAUGAGAAGCUCUUCCUUCUACUCUUUGACAGCUGAGAUGUUUCAAGCUCACCAAUACAGAUACCAAGAUGCCAACAAUCAUAACUUGUAAGCAAAUUUCUUUUAAAGAAAUCAGUGUUUUGAAACUGAAAAAUGACUAAAAUGUAAUAUAUUAUGUGUCUAGCAAGCCUGAGGAAAUAGAACAAUUCAUACUGUUGGAUAUUAAUAUAUAAAUUUCAAGGUUAAUUCCAUUAACUUGGGGAUUGAAACAUAUUAAUAUUUUUAUGCAUCCCAAACCUGACACAUUAAAUUUGUGUUUUAUGAUAAAUUCUAAAAAUUAACAUUGAAUAAUAUUUUUAUUUCUUUAUAAUAUAACCUUAAGCAAAUAAAUAGAGACUAUACCUCAUUUUAAAGGGACAAACCAGUUUUUUGCUAGCAAGAAACAAACUCAAUUGCUAAUUCUCAGUAAAUGUUGUUGACUGUCAUUUUCAAGCUUUUACAUCUGCGCAAAGUCUAAAGUAUGGGUUUGGGCUCAAUCUUGUCAAUAUGUGUUUUGCUUAAUAAAUCUCUAGCAAUGUAUUAUGUUCUAGUUUUUCAAUUCUAUCAACCUUUUUUUGUAUUGUUAUGGCAUUAACACCAGAGUAUGGCAAACAGCAAUUUUAAACAAUUCUGGAAUUGUAAGAAUACAAAUUAUUUCUAACCAAAAGCAUUAGAUUAGAACUGCAUGCAGUAAAUGCAAAUAGAAUCACACAAUUGAUUUGAUAAUAAGUGAAAUGUAUCCCUGUUCACAGACCACUCAUUCUCUUUAACUUUUCCUAUGUGUUAGAAAGUUAGAUGGAAGCUGAGCGUUUAGCCAAAAUUAUUUUUCAUACUUUAGCAUAAGCAUACUAUUGGUGUACAUUUGCUAAUUUUCACUUCAUUUUUCUAAAUUUCUAAGGAGAACACAUAGU
rnacentral:lncRNA from 1 species